rnacentral:misc_RNA from 1 species
UGGCCAGGUUCAUACUGUGACACAAAGCAAAGUUGCUGCUAGCCAAGCCCCGGAAAACCUGCUACCGAUUUUGUCAUUCGUGGGCUUUGGCCUAAUCACAAGGAUCGGAAUUACCCUUCAAAUUGUGAUUCUAGCAAUCCCUUCAAUCAAAAUAAGGUAACUCCCUAUUCUAUUAUUAGAUUUUUUUUCUGUAACUUUAUUGAGUAUACUGAUUCAUCAUGAUGAAUAAUAUUACAUGAUGAAUAAUAUUACAGUGCACACUUUUUUGUCAUAAAAUUUUUAUGUUUGGUUAUUUUUAUAUUUAAUUUAUUCACUUAUUAUAUUGAGAAAAACAUUAUCUUAAAAUUAAUAUUUAUUAAGAAUCU